UACGUAGGUGGCAAGCGUUGUCCGGAUUUAUUGGGUUUAAAGGGUGCGUAGGCGGUUCUCUAAGUCAGUUGUGAAAUACUUCAGCUUAACUGGAGAGGUGCAAUUGAUACUGGAGGACUUGAGUACUGAUGAGGUAGGCGGAAUGGACGGUGUAGCGGUGAAAUGCUUAGAUAUCGUCCAGAACACCGAUAGCGAAGGCAGCUUACUAAGGAGUAACUGACGCUGAGGCACGAAAGUGUGGGGAUCGAAACAGG
rnacentral:rRNA from 1 species